rnacentral:rRNA from 2 species
UUCCUUGUCGGGUAAGUUCCGACCUGCACGAAUGGCGUAAUGAUGGCCAGGCUGUCUCCACCCGAGACUCAGUGAAAUUGAACUCGCUGUGAAGAUGCAGUGUACCCGCGGCAAGACGGAAAGACCCCGUGAACCUUUACUAUAGCUUGACACUGAACAUUGAGCCUUGAUGUGUAGGAUAGGUGGGAGGCUUUGAAGUGUGGACGCCAGUCUGCAUGGAGCCGACCUUGAAAUACCACCCUUUAAUGUUUGAUGUUCUAACGUGGACCCGUUACCCGGGUUGCGGACAGUGUCUGGUGGGUAGUUUGACUGGGGCGGUCUCCUCCUAAAGAGUAACGGAGGAGCACGAAGGUUGGCUAAUCCUGGUCGGACAUCAGGAGGUUAGUGCAAUGGCAUAAGCCAGCUUGACUGCGAGCGUGACGGCGCGAGCAGGUGCGAAAGCAGGUCAUAGUGAUCCGGUGGUUCUGAAUGGAAGGGCCAUCGCUCAACGGAUAAAAGGUACUCCGGGGAUAACAGGCUGAUACCGCCCAAGAGUUCAUAUCGACGGCGGUGUUUGGCACCUCGAUGUCGGCUCAUCACAUCCUGGGGCUGAAGUAGGUCCCAAGGGUAUGGCUGUUCGCCAUUUAAAGUGGUACGCGAGCUGGGUUUAGAACGUCGUGAGACAGUUCGGUCCCUAUCUGCCGUGGGCGCUGGAGAACUGAGGGGGGCUGCUCCUAGUACGAGAGGACCGGAGUGGACGCAUCACUGGUGUUCGGGUUGUCAUGCCAAUGGCACUGCCCGGUAGCUAAAUGCGGAAGAGAUAAGUGCUGAAAGCAUCUAAGCACGAAACUUGCCCCGA